rnacentral:tRNA from 1 species
UGGAGUGUGGCUGAGUGGUAGAGCCCUUGCCUAGAAUGCCCAAAGCCCUGGAUUCGAGUUCCAGCACUGUAA